UAGAAAUUAAAGACAGAUCAAAGGACAUCAUAAUCUCUGGUGCUGAAAAUAUCAGCAGUGUAGAGAUAGAGAAUACUCUUUACUCACAUCCUUCAAUACUGGAGGCAGCAGUGGUUGCAAGGGCAGAUGAAAAAUGGGGCGAGUCUCCCUGCGCUUUUGUGACAUUAAAGCCAGGAGUGGAUAAAAGCAAUGAGCAGCGUAUAAUUGAGGAUAUACUAAAGUUCAGCAGGGCCAAGAUGCCUGCUUAUUGGGUUCCAAAAUCAGUUGUGUUUGGAGCCUUACCUAAGACAGCUACUGGGAAGAUACAGAAGCAUAUACUGAGGGCCAAGGCAAAAGAGAUGGGACCUGUAAAGUUGAGCAAGUUAUAAACAUAUUGAAAUGAUCAUGACGAAAAACGAACUAGUUAUAAACAUAUUGAGUACUUUAUAAAC
rnacentral:lncRNA from 1 species